GCCUGGGUUCCCUUCAAGGCCACAGACCCUCAAAUGUGUGAUGUUGUGCAUCUGAAAGUGUGUGACGAGGUCGCCCGGAUCCUCUGCAAACCAAACGGACACACUGCUGUAAAGAAGCACAAGAAAAUACUGCAAAGAUGCUUCCUUCCAGCAGAGCCGGGUGACAUGACUGUAAGUGUUGCUGUUUUUCCUGUGAUCGUCAUCAUUUUAUCUAUUACACAGAUGAGUGGACACAAUUACUCUGCAUGAUUGACACUCCCUCAUUGUGUCUCUCAAAGGAUUAUCAUCAAGGGAAGCCCAACCUCUGGCGUAGCAGUAGGCAGCUCUUUGGAUGGUAGCAUCUGUCACCACUAGUUUCUACAAUCUAAAACACUAGGCAAAGAAAUGAAACAGGACUCAGCCCUCAGGCCUGGCCCUAAAGGAAGUCGUAACUUCAGGAGGUCUACCGCUUCCUCUGGCACUUCCACGUACGCACAAAUAUAGAUAUCUCUUUGGAGGGAACAGUU